GAUGAACGCUAGCGGCAGGCCUAAUACAUGCAAGUCAAGGGGCUCAGCAAUGAGCACCGGCGCACGGGUGCGUAACGCGUACACAACUUACCCUGGGAUGGGGGAUAGCAUUGGGAAACUGGUGGUAAUACCCCAUGGCAUUGAUUGGUGGCAUCACUGAUCAAUUAAAGGCUACGUCCUGGGAUGGGUGUGCGUCCGAUUAGCUUGUUGGCGGGGUAACGGCCCACCAAGGCGACGAUCGGUAGGGGGUGUGAGAGCAUGACCCCCCACACGGGUACUGAGACACGGGACCCGACUCCUACGGGAGGCAGCAGUAAGGAAUAUUGGACAAUGGACGGAAGUCUGAUCCAGCCAUGCCGCGUGAAGGAAGAAGGCGCUCAGCGUU
rnacentral:rRNA from 1 species